GGGGGUCGAUCGGAAGUGAAACGGAAACAGAUGCAUAAACUGAUGGCCAACAUCAAAUUCCGGUGAGCCUUUCUCGUCUCCGAUGAAUCAUUCCCGGCAGAAAAGGAAAACGAAGGGAGAAGGGAUCUCCGGAGACGAUCUGCGAAUGGAACCAGGGAGUGGAGGCGGCGACUGUCGCCGAUCGAAGGGAGUACCACCGGUGCUCAAUCGGACUGAAGAAGGAAGAAGGGAAAGAGUCGGCUCUUCGGUGGUGAUUCACGAAGGUAAUAGGGAGGCAGAAAGCGGGGGUUGGCAGCAAAGUCGUUGUCUGCAGCUUAAGGCAGCGAGAGCUGCUCCGACGGCUCUUGGCUGUUCCUUCUUUGGUUCAGCAGCAAAACGCAAAAGGGAAGGGAGAAGCCAACAGCAACUAUGAUGACCUCAGGGUUUUGCAAAUGGAAGAACCAAGAGAAGAGGCUGAUGGCCUCUUGUUGUUCUUUGGCAGGAAACAAUGAAGAUGAAGGGAAAGAGGUUAUUGGUUUUCUGUUCUUCUUGGCAUCCUCUUUUGAGUAUGAAGAGACAGUAUAUUUUUGGGUUUAAUUGUUUGUUAAAGAGUGCAAGUUAUGUCAAACUGGCCAGACACUCCUCCAAAAUUUGAAUCGUAUAUGUCCUUUUGACUAGAUGUGUAAGCAAUAGUCUAGACUUUUAAGUAUGUGUGUGCUAUAGUUUGACAGGUAGAGAAGAGUGAAGAGUAGCUUCCAAGAGAAGCAUGAUUGAACCUCUAAACAAAAGUCUUUCUUUGACUUUUAAUAGAUAUUUUAAGAAAUAAAUAUGUAUAAGAUAUUUUGUGGUAUAAAUCUCGUUCUCGCGA